UUGCCUAUGGAGGGAUGACCCGGCUCAGGUUGGAAAUGGAGCAGGUCAAAACUCCCAUGCUGAUCAGUGGUGGGAUUGCACCUGUGAAUAGAUGCUGCACUCCAGCCUGGGCAACAUAGCAACGCUCCAUCUUU
rnacentral:misc_RNA from 1 species